rnacentral:rRNA from 1 species
AGAGUUUGAUCCUGGCUCAGAUUGAACGCUGGCGGCAGGCUUAACACAUGCAAGUCGAGCGGGGAGAUGUAGCUUGUUACAUUUCCUAGCGGCGGACGGGUGAGUAAUGCUUAGGAAUCUGCCUAUUAGUGGGGGACAACAUUCCGAAAGGAAUGCUAAUACCGCAUACGCCCUACGGGGGAAAGCAGGGGAUCUUCGGACCUUGCGCUAAUAGAUGAGCCUAAGUCAGAUUAGCUAGUUGGUGGGGUAAAGGCCUACCAAGGCGACGAUCUGUAGCGGGUCUGAGAGGAUGAUCCGCCACACUGGGACUGAGACACGGCCCAGACUCCUACGGGAGGCAGCAGUGGGGAAUAUUGGACAAUGGGCGCAAGCCUGAUCCAGCCAUGCCGCGUGUGUGAAGAAGGCCUUUUGGUUGUAAAGCACUUUAAGCGAGGAGGAGGCUACCUGGAUUAAUACUCUAGGAUAGUGGACGUUACUCGCAGAAUAAGCACCGGCUAACUCUGUGCCAGCAGCCGCGGUAAU